rnacentral:tRNA from 1 species
CGGGGUGUGGCGCAGACUGGUAGCGCGCGGCGUUUGGGACGCUGAGGUCGUAGGUUCGAAUCCUAUCACCCCGACCA